rnacentral:tRNA from 1 species
UGCGAGGUAGAGCAGUUGGUAGCUUACGGGCCUCAUAAGUCCGUGGUCGCUGGUUCGAGUCCAGCCCUCGCUUCCA